rnacentral:rRNA from 1 species
CAAGGCGACGAUGCGUAACCGACCUGAGAGGGUGAACGGCCACAUUGGAACUGAGACACGGUCCAGACUCCUACGGGAGGCAGCAGUGGGGAAUAUUGCGCAAUGGGGGAAACCCUGACGCAGCAACGCCGCGUGAAUGAUGAAGGCCUUCGGGUUGUAAAGUUCUGUCUUCUGGGACGAUAAUGACGGUACUAGAGGAGGAAGCCACGGCUAACUACGUGCCAGCAGCCGCGGUAAUACGUAGGUGGCAAGCGUUGUCUGGAUUUACUGGGCGUAAAGGAUGCGUAGGCGGACAUUUAAGUCAGAUGUGAAAUACUCGAGCUUAACUUGGGUGCUGCAUUUGAAACUGGGUGUCUAGAGUGCAUGAGAGGUAAGUGGAAUUCCUAGUGUAGCAGUGAAAUGCGUACAGAUUAGGAAGAACACCACUGGCGAAGGCGACUUACUGGACUGUAACUGACGCUGAGGCAUG